CAUGGCUAUCAAAACUUUCCCUCUUCUUCUUGCCGUGUUGGCAGUUCUGUUGGUGGCGCAGACAGUCUCGAGUGAGGAAGAAUUCAAUGAGACAGGUCUUCUUUUUAUUGAAAAUCCGGACACAAACCCAGAAAUAAUAAGUCCGGCGCGCGCUCUCCUGGACUCUCCCACCAGUCGUCGUCGCGUCUGCACCGCCGCCAUGUGUCAGCGCGUGUGUCGAGCGCUUUACUACAGAUUUGGUCGCUGCAACAGAAAUCGUGUCUGCGUGUGCUCUAACUUUUAAAAACUCAAUAUUUUUAAUGUAAAUACACAUACUAUUUAUAAAAUAAAUUGAAAUACGAACUACAAAAUA